UACGUAGGGUGCAAGCGUUAAUCGGAAUUACUGGGCGUAAAGCGUGCGCAGGCGGUUCUAUAAGACAGAUGUGAAAUCCCCGGGCUCAACCUGGGAACUGCAUUUGUGACUGUAGAGCUGGAGUACGGCAGAGGGGGAUGGAAUUCCGCGUGUAGCAGUGAAAUGCGUAGAUAUGCGGAGGAACACCGAUGGCGAAAGCACUCUGCUGGGCCGACACUGACACUGAGAGACGAAAGCUAGGGGAGCGAAUGGG
rnacentral:rRNA from 1 species